GUUGUUCAUGUAUUGAUGGUGUUCAGCACCAAGGACAGACUUAGUUGUUCAUGUAUUGAUGGUGUUCAGCACCAAGGACAGACUUAGUUGUUC
rfam:Branchiostoma floridae genomic scaffold BRAFLscaffold_264, whole genome shotgun sequence.